CCUACGGGAGGCAGCAGUGAGGAAUAUUGGACAAUGGGCGCAAGCCUGAUCCAGCCAUGCCGCGUGCAGGAUGACGGUCCUAUGGAUUGUAAACUGCUUUUAUACGGGAAGAGACCCUGGCUCGUGAGCCAGAUUGACGGUACCGUAAGAAUAAGGAUCGGCUAACUCCGUGCCAGCAGCCGCGGUAAUACGGAGGAUCCAAGCGUUAUCCGGAAUCAUUGGGUUUAAAGGGUCCGUAGGCGGUUUAAUAAGUCAGUGGUGAAAGCCCAUCGCUCAACGGUGGAACGGCCAUUGAUACUGUUAGACUUGAAUUAUUAGGAAGUAACUAGAAUAUGUAGUGUAGCGGUGAAAUGCUUAGAGAUUACAUGGAAUACCAAUUGCGAAGGCAGGUUACUACUAAUUGAUUGACGCUGAUGGACGAAAGCGUGGGUAGCGAACAGGAUUAGAUACCCUGGUAGUCCACGCCGUAAACGAUGGAUACUAGCUGUUGGGAAGUAAUCUCAGUGNGUAGAGAAGUAGAUAAGUAUACCACCUCGGGAGGUACGGUUCGUCGAAGAAGUAGAACGUACGAAGUAAGUAGUAGGUACGUGAGAGAGACGACGACGACGACGACGGAGGGAGGAGG
rnacentral:rRNA from 1 species